rnacentral:lncRNA from 1 species
UGUAGAUACAUAAAUAUACGUAGAAAUUUUUGUUAUUAUUAAUUGUGGUGCGGUGUAGUUUGUAAACAUUUGAAGUCUUAGUAUAUUUGUGGUUUUCAAACAAAAAGGGGUAUAUUUGUGGUUUAAGUGCAUUCCUAUAGGUAUCGAUGAUGGUGUUGUUGUGUUCGUAAUUCAAAAAUUGGUAAACUAAUAUUUUACGUUGUAUCACUAGCAAAAAUUGGUUCCGAAUUAGAAAAAAUUAAGGUCUAAAGUCCAAUUCUUUUGGUUUUAAAAAAUAAAUUAAACAUUACUUGUCCAUAAAAAAAUAUUCCAAGC